ACCGGUCUCUCCAUCUCCAACCUUCUGCCAUUUAGGGUUCUUCCACACCUCUGGACCUUCAGCGCCACUGCAACUCGUUACUUGGGGCAGCAGUUCUUCAAGUCCUCACCUGCGAUUUCAUCUCAAGAAACCCAUUCAUCCAACCUCAAGAAACCUAUUCAUCCAAUCUCUAGCCAUUGUAUUCCUCAUUCGCGGGUUCUGAACUUCUCCCACCUCUGCACCUUCAACUGGUUGGUUGGGGCAGCAGUUCUUGAAGCCCUCACCUACGAUUUCAUCUCAAGAAACCCAUCCAUCAAAUCUCAGAUUAUGUUACUAAUCAUUCGUGGUAUGGAUCGACCCUCCCCAUCUUGUUGCAAAGGUACUGGUGGGAGAUCAUCUAUGACGUGAGGACUUGAAGAACUGCUGCCCCAAGUAACCAGUUGCAAUGGCGCUGAAUGUACAGAGGUGUGGAAGAACCCUAAAUGGCAAAAGGUUGGAGAUGGAGAGACCGACGCAUUAAUGUGACAGGGCCUAGGAGAACGAAGCGAUACUUGAGUGCACCUUAUUCUCCAUCUUCGCUUCUGCAUAUUUUCUUCAGCUUAGCCCCAUAUACUGCCACUGCUACUACAACUUUGUUGCAGAUUUUGUCAAGAAAAUGGAAGUAUGCAUACCCCCAAGACUUGUUGAAAAACAACACACCAUAAACUCCCAAAAACCCAACUACAAAUCCUGGUGCAAUUCCAGCAUAAAACCAAAGCAUUUUGUCCUCUUCUCCUGCUCAAUUUCCACUAACAAUUGGCAUUGGAACAUUUGUUGGAGGUAAAUCACCAUCUUCUACUAUGCAGCUCUUGAGUGGAGGUCCACAUAAUCCUGGGAAUUGGACCAAAAAGGUUGUUGAAGGACAAGUUGAGGUGACUUAGAAAGGUCAAAGUAGACAUGCUUGUAGGAAUUGGACCAGAAAUCUGGUUUCUCGAAAAAUCCAGAGAUUCUGUGGUAUUUUUCCUGUCAAAUUGUUUCUUGAUACAUUUAAACUUCGUAUCCAUGAAGAUUUGUUAGCUCUUCUGGGAUCCCUCCGACUAAAAUGUUGCUAGAGAUGUCCAAGCUGGUUACGAGCUGAAGUGUCUUGGUAUACAAGAGUUCUAUUCCUUUUGUAGUCACAGCCAAUUUGUCUUCAUGCCUAUAAAACAUCGGCGCUAGCUGAGAAUUAUCAGUAUAAUAGUCCCAGGGAAUAUGAUCAAGCAUGCUCAUGGAAUGAUGGAAUCAUCAUCCCUAGUUUCAUUCAACAAAACCAUGGCACUAAGAAUAUUGACUAAACAAGGAGGAAUGGUUCCCAACAGAUUAUUUUGUGAAAGAUCUAUUACUUGUAGAAGUUGAAGGUGGCAAAGUCGUGGUGGAAUGUAUCCGUGAAAUAUUUUUGAUCGAAGACUGAGAAACUUCAGCUGUGAAUGGUUCCUUCAAUUCCUAUCCAUGGAGGGAUUGUCCCAGAGAAUUUGUUCUCACCAAGAUCAAGAGUCUCUAAACGGUAUGAAUUCUUCAAAGCAGAAGGAAACUCCCCGGAGAAAUUGUUUAUGCUUAAAUGUAAUGAGGUGAGGAUAUAUAGAGAACUUAUCCAACUUGGAAUCUGUCCAAAUAGUUUGUUACUCGACAAAUCUGGUUUCCAAAAAUAAUGAAAAUUGACAUCCCGACACUGAGGGAGCUCUCCAAGGAAAUGAUUGUUUGAGAGACAAAGAAAUAUCAGUUCCUGCACUUUGCAAAUUGUUGAGGGUAUUUUACCAGUCAAUCUGUUAUCUGAAAGAUCCAAGAUCCACAAGUUGGGGAUUGUAUAACCAAUACUUGAGGGAAUGUGUCCUGAAAGCAAAUUUUUUGAGAGAUUGAUGUGGGAAGCACGACAGGAGAGGUUCUGAAAACAAUUGGAGAUAUUGCCUGAUAAGCCUGUGUUAGAAACAUCUAUAUAUGAAAAAUUCCUUUGCUUUUGGAGCCACAGAGGAAAUCCAGGCCCCAGUUUGCAAGAUGGCAUUAUAAUAACAAUGAGUUGAAAAGGAGAAACCCACGUGAAACUGAAUUUGAGGACGUGUCUAAAUAUCUCAUUCUUGAGAGCUUAUUUAAGUGAAUUUAAGAUAUGAAACCAUCCAAGGAAUUAUUAGAUAUAUCAAACACUUGUAGUCUUGAAAGUUGGCCAAGAGAAAUGGGGAUUGGGCCAGAAGAUGAGUUUGAAUAAAGAAUAAUGCGUUCAAGAUUCUUAUACUCUCCUAAAUGUUCCGGCAAGUAGUGCCCAGUAAAGUUGUUCCCUCCGAGAUUCAAAGUCUGUAAUUUAGACCCAUGAAUGCAAUAAUGGGAGGAAUUUUCCAAGAACCCAGAUAUUUCUCCCCUAAAUUUAUUUUUUGACAAAUCUAAACUGCUCAAGUUGCAGAGCAUACUCAAUGGCUUGGUAUCUCACCUUCAAACUCAUUAUGACUUAAAUCAAGAUCUAUAAGGGAAUGCUUUCAAAAGCAUUAUCUGUAAUUGAACCAUGAACACGAUUCCGACCCAGAUCAAGAUUUACAAGGUGGCUAAGAUUAAACAACCGGAGAUGAAUUGUGGAACUAAAUUGGUUCUCACUGAGAUCAAGGACAGUCAGAGAUGCGAAAUUGACAUGCAACUGGGGAAGUUGGCAAUAUUUUAAGUGUAAUUCUCGAAGAGAAGGAAGCAUGUUAAUCGCAUGAAACCACCCACUUAACUGAGAAACACUAUUCCCAGAGAGGUCCAGAAACAACAGAGAAAACAGAGUAGACAGCCAAUCCAGUUCAUCAAACCUUACUCCUGAAAGAAAACUGAAAUCGAGGUGCUGCAGGUUUGAGAGGUUAACCAGUUGAGGUGGAACCUUCCCUUGGAAACUUGCAUCAGAGAGGUUAAGAUACGUCAACUGUUUCAGGGAGCCAGCCAAGGAAACUGUGGAUAUGAGUUGCACUAAAGUCGUUUCUGCUCAGGUCCAAAUAAUUCAAAUGUUUCAAUCUAAGUAACGAAGGAUUUAACUCACCACCCAGGAAUGCGUCGAAAUAAUCAUCAACGUUGUCAUCGCUUAAGUAAACAGCGUUUCGAAGAUGGAGCUUGAGGACGUGACCAUUGCUUUUGCUGCACUCAACUCCCUUCCAUGCACAGCAAUCAUGGCCCACCCAAGAUGAGAGACAGUUCGAUGGAUUUGUAAGACUUAGUCUGAACUCGAGGAGAGCUCGACGCGCUCACUCUCGAUGCAACUCGCGUUUGGGAAUCCAGAAAUACUACUCAACCCUUUUGCCAGUAGAAGCAGAAACAAGUGAAACAGAGUAACCAUACGGCCAUUGGAUGAUGUGACCAUAGUUUUUUCUUGGUGAGAAGCAAAACUUAGUUUUCACAAUGCAAAUUGGUUCUGUAAAGGAGUAUUAAAAGGACUUAUAGACUCAUAAUCAACCCACUAGUCAUGCACAGUCUUUUUUUUUUCUUUCUUGGAUUUUAUUGUAGUAAUUGCAGAUUAUGGUUGGGAUGGAAAAGAAUGGUUUCCAUCAAUCUCGACUUAUUAGAAAUUUCCCACCAGAAAUGGGUGGUUGUAAUGGGGAUUAUUGCAAUCCAAAACUUAGAAAAUGGGAAGCAAGGAAAAGGAACUCAUCAGUCAGCAAGAUCUCACCAGUCACCAUCUUUUGACUUGUUCUGAUUCUAUAUUAGUACAGCGAAUGCACCUUUAAGAGAAAACUAGGCCAUGUAUGAGUUUAAUUUUAC